CCAGAGCCAGUUCACCUCUUGUCCGAUGCAGUCAGGAGAGGAAGAUCAUCUCUCCUCCGAUCCUGGUAAACUGAACAUUUCCAGAAUUAGAUCAGCUCCCUGAAGUGUCUCCAGUUAGUCAUUCAUCUGAUAGGAUUGACUCUACAACCCUGGGGACUCAUUCUCCUAGCUUAAGAGUGAGAAGCUGAGGAAACAUCUGGGAGUGGACAAUGAUCGGGAAAUCGUACUUCCUCCUGUCACUUCUCCAAGGAGAAAGGCAGCGAUGGAGGAGAGAGUUUCAGGGACCAGUGACAUUACAUUGACCCCCAGUCCACUCUCUGUGAAGCACCAGGGUAAACAGAACGUGCUGAUUACUGAGCCCCGGCACACAUCCAGAGACACAACUAGUGAGGGGGAGACCCCAGGUCCCCGGGAUCUCUCUGAAGGUCCAGUGGGAGGCGAUGCUGGACAUGGGAACCCUGACAAUCCCGACGAGCUUCUCUACGCCAACAUCAACUUUUCAAAGCUGCCCAGCGGUGACAGGACUGUGCACAGGAGCGAGGACAUGGAAUACGCACAGAUCAGAUUCCAGAAAAACUGAGUGUGAAACAGGGAGCAGGGCUGUGGGGUGUGUGCAGCCAACAUGGCCAAAUAGUAAUGAACAGAAAUAUGAUGUUGCUAAACUUUUUUUGAUUGGUUCUGAGUGAGGUUUCUGAAUGCUGCACCUUUUUCCAUGCUGUAAAAGAUUGUGAGAAGCUUAUGAAUUAUGUAUAAUUUUACAUCUGUUAAUACAAGUGUUCAGAUGGCUCUGUACAUAUUUUGAAAUUAAAUAUCAUGCUCUUGUGAACAA